rnacentral:lncRNA from 1 species
AUCAAUAAAGCAAGCAAAAUAAUUAGUCUAAUCUCUCAUCCCCUUCCUCUGCGCCUCUCUCUCACCCCGAUCUCCAGCCAUAGGGCGGCGUGGCUACCAGCCUCGCCGUCUAACCUACCACGACUACAACCUCCGUUCCAAUCCACAGCUUCCUGGUUCCCAAGCACGUGACAACUUGGUAUCAGAUUCAUCUUCGAUCCCCGCUGCCGCCAUGAGUCAACCUCCGCCCCCUCAAACCCUCGCCGAGCUCAUCACCAAACAGCAGACAGAUCAUGAUGGUGUGGUGGAGGCCCUCAACAACUUCGCCUCCGACUGGCAACUUGAUGCAGACCAGCGCCGCGCAGAUCGCCAGGCGGACGCUGCCAAGCUCGACGCCUCGAUCAAGCAACUCACCGAGGUCCUGCAGUCCGUUCAGAAACAGGCCGCUGAAAGUGCACAACAGCAGUGCGUGCAACACAUGGCCAUCCAACGCCUCGAGCAGGGCGGCUCGGCACCGCGGUUGGGAGGCCCAGGCAUCAUGCCCACGCCCGGCGACAGGUCCCAGGCGGUGGAUCUGACCCACAACUCUGAGAGCAGCGACCGGCCCCCACGCCUUUACAAAAUCGAUUUUCCCACGUUCGAUGGGGAAAGCGAUCCGCGUCCAUGGCUGGCCUCGGUCAGCGCACACAGGAGUCCGAUAAGACAUGGCUGGCCUCCUACCAUCUCACCGGCAUCGCCGCAUUAUGGUACGGCCACCUUGAGACCAAGAUUGGUCGCCCAUCUUGGGAGACGUUCCGGCAACUCCUCUCCAACCACUUCGGGCCUCCCACACGUGCUAAUCCGUUCGGCGAACUGAUCUCCCUCCGCCGAUCAGGCACGGUGGCAGACUACACCAAGCGCUUCCUCGAGCACCUUUCCUAGAUUACCUCGAUACCCGACUCUGAGGAACGGGACAUCUUCACCAACAACCUGGGCGACCCCAUGAAGACUCAGGUCGAGAUGAUGAAACCAGGCACCUUGGAAGCGGCCAUGGACCUGGCUGUCUCCUUCGUAGCACCUCCACGACGUGUCGGCGGCUACGGCGGCUACGGCGGCCUCCGCGUCCUGGCCGGCUCGUCAGCUCCGCGCCCCUGCAGCACUGGUCCCCACCACUGCUGACCCCUCCAGCAUCACUCCAACACAUGUGUUAAAAAAACUAACAGCCGCGAAGAUGGACGAUCGGCGCGCGAAGGGGCUCUGCUUUAAUUGCGACGAGAAGUUCGUCUGUGGCCAUCGCUGCAAACAACUCUUCUACAUCCAGUCCACGGACGACGACACCGACGACUUUGAGGAUUGCGACGACGACAUUCAAAUCUCCCUCCUCGCGGUCACGGGCGUCCACACUAGUGACACCAUGCAGGUCCCCGUCCGCAUUGGUGAUCGCAAGCUCAUCGCACUAAUCGACUCGGGAAAGCACCCACAACUUCAUCAAUGAGGACAUCGCUGCCACCGUGGGCGCCAAUUUCUCGUCAGGCCGUCGCCUUCGUGUCACGGUCGCCAACGGCGACCACGUCACCUGUCGCGGCCUCCUACGGCACGCUGCCAUCGUCAUCGACAAAGAGCACUUGGUCGCUGACCUCCACGCCAUCCCAUUGGGUGGUUUUGACGUCGUACUGGGCACACGUUUCCUCAAGACACUCGGGCCAAUCCUUUGGGAUUUCUCCCGUCUCUGGAUGUCUUUUUGGCAUGCUGACCACCGUGUCGAGUGGUACGGACUGGCCGCUCCAGGACGCCCAACUCACAUCCACGUGUGCGCCGGUCGUGAGCUCCUCGACAGCCUCCUCGCCGACUACACCGAGAUCUUUGGUGACCCCACGGGCCUGCCGCCGCCGCGAGUCCAAGACCACCGCAUCCGAUUGGAGGCCGGUUCCCUGCCAGUGGCUGUCCGGCCGUAUCGCUAUCCAGCACUCCAGAAGGACGAGCUCAAGAGGCAAUGCGUUGAGAUGCUGGAACGCGGUCUCAUUCGUCGCAGCACAUCGGCCUUCUCCUCCCCGGUUCUGCUGGUGAAGAAACGUGACGGCACUUGGCGCUUCUCCGUUGAUUACCGAGCUCUUAAUGGCAUCACCAUCAAGGACAAGUUUCCCAUUCCCGUUGUCGACGAGCUGAAGGGCGCCCGCUUCUUCACAAAGCGGGACCUGCGGUCGGGUUACCACCAAGUACGCAUGGCCCCAGAGGACAUCCACAAGACGGUGUUUCGUACCCAUGAAGGGCUCUUCGAGUUCAUGGUCAUGGCGUUUGGUCCGACGAAUGCUCCAGCAACGUUCCAGGCGUUGAUGAACGAUGUGCUCCGUCCUUUCUUACGCCGCUUUGUGCUCGUAUUUUUUGAUGACAUUUUGAUCUACAACUCCUCCUGGUCGGACCACCUUCGUCAUGACAAGACCGUCCUGGAGGCCUUGAGGACUCAUCGACUCUUCCUAAAGCGCUCCAGGUGCUCAUUUGGUGAGGAAUCAGUGGCGUACCUCGGUCACGUGAUUACGGUUGACGGCGUCGCCAUGGACAGCGCCAAGGUAUUGGCCGUCGUCGAUUGGCCGCAGCCCAGGUCAGUACGUGCCGUGCGCGGCUUCUUGGGCCUCGCCGGCUACUACCGCAAGUUCAUCCGUGACUUCGGCAUCAUCGCGGCACCACUCACGGCGUUGCUUAGAAAAGAGGGCUUCCUUCGCUCUCUUCGCUCUCAAGACCGCCCUCACCACGGCGCCGGUUCUGCAUCUCCUUGACUUCACCAAAGCCUUCACGGUGGAGUGCGAUGCGUCCGGGUCCGGUUUCGGCGCGGUGCUACACCAGGUUGCAGGUCCGAUUCCCUAUUUCAGCCAGGCUAUCGCUCCUCGUCACGCCUCCCUUGCGGCAUACGAGGGUGAGCUGAUUGGUCUUGUCCAGGCAGUGCGGCACUAGAGGCCGUACCUCUGGGGGCGCUCUUUCAUCGUCAAGACGGACCACUAUAGCCUCAAGUUCUUGCUCGACCAGCACCUGGCAACCAUCCCCCAACACCACUGGGUGGGCAAGCUCCUGGGGUUCGACUUCACUGUGGAAUACAAGCCGGGCCGCCAGAAUAUUGUGGCCGACGCUCUCUCUCGCCGGGCCACGCCUGUGCCAUCACGGGACCGGCUUUUGACCUCUUCGACGCCCUCUGGCAGGCGGCACAAUCUGAUCCAGCUUUGGUGGCACUCCGUGAGCAGCUCCAUUCGGGCGAGCUGAGCGCCCCUGGGGCUCUCAGCGACGGCAUCGUUACUUUCGAGCACUGGGCCUAUGUACCGCCAUCUUCUCCAUUGAUGGCUGAGGUGCUGGCUGCUGCCCAUGACUCCCACCAUGAGGGCAUCCAGAAGUUGCUACACCAUCUCCGUCGGGAUUUUCACCUCCCUCGGGCCCGCGUGGUGCUCUAGGAUUAUAUCCGCGCAUGUGAGGUGUGCCAACGUAACAAAACCGAGCAGCUUCAUCCAGUCGGUAUACUUCAGCCCUUGACAGUCCCUUCCCGCAUUUGGGAGGAUAUUUCCAUGGAUUUCAUCGAAGGGCUGCCUAAGGUCGGUGGCAAAAGUGUCAUCCUCACCGUCGUCAACCGUUUCUCCAAAUAUGCACACUUCAUACCACUGGCGCAUCCCUAUACAGCUGAGACGGUGGCCAAGGCAUUCUUCACCAGCAUUGUUCGCCUCCAUGGAGUGCCGAUAUCCAUUGUGUCAGAUCGUGAUGUGGUGUUCACCUCGAAUUUUUGGAAGGCCUUAUUCGCAGCUUCGGGCACCCGUCUUCACAUGAGCACGGCUUUCCACCCGCAAUCUGAUGGGCGGGCUGAGGCUGUUAACCGGGUCAUCGCCAUGUACUUACGCUGCCUCACCGGUGAUCGGCCUCGCCAAUGGCUCCAGUGGUUGUCAUGGGCCGAAUACUGCUACAACACAUCCUACCACUCGGCUUUACGGGAUACUCCGUUCCGGGUGGUCUACGGCCGCGAUCCUCCAUCGUUCCGCGAUUACAUUCCAGGGGAGAUUCGUAAUCAAGCGGUGGAGCGCCAGAUUGUUGAUCGUGAUCAGUUCCUCCAGGACAUGCGUGCUCGGCUCCUUCAAGCAGUGCAACAUUACAAGCACUAUUAUGAUGGCAAGCAUCGCCUCUUGUCUUUUGACAUUGGUGAGUGGGCUUGGCUGCGCCUUCACCAUCGGCCAGCAGCGUUUCUGGGUUCUGCAGCCAAGGGCAAGUUGGCUCCUAAAUAUUAUGGCCCUUUCAAGAUCAUCGCCAAGAUUGACUCGGUGGCCUAUCGUCUGGAGCUACCAGCCAGUGCCCGCAUUCACGAUGUAUUUCAUGUGGGUCUGCUCAAGAAGUAUCAUGGGUCGCCGCCGGAAGGACCGCCGGCACUGCCUCCCCUUUUCCACGGCCGUGUGCAGCCAGCGCCCAGCAAAGCCUUGCACGCCCGCCUGUGCAGAGGUCUGCAGCAAGUGUUGAUUCAAUGGGAAGGCCAGUCUGCCGCCAAUGCUUCAUGGGAAGACGUUCCGGCAUUUCGGGCUCGCUAUCCAGGCUUCCAGCUCGAGGACCAGCUGUUUCAUAAUGGAGGGGGAGAUGUCAUGUGGGGGCGUACCUACCAGCGUAGGGCUCGCCCUGCUGCAGAUACUCAGCCCUAGUUUGUGUUUAGUUCAAUUGCUUGCUAGUUAAGUUAAGAAAUAGGAUCUAAGUCAGAAAGGUUUUGUCCCGUAGAAGGUUACCCUGCCGACCUGAUCUAAUUAGAGUUCUUUUCUUCUUUCCCAAGUUGUAAUUGGCUAUUUAUAGCCCACCCUAGUCAAUCAAUAAAGCAAGCAGAAUAAUUAGUCUAAUCUCUCAUCCCCUUCCUCUGCGCCUCUCUCUCACCCCGAUCUCCAGCCAUAGGGCGGCGUGGCUACCAGCCUCGCCGUCUAACCUACCACGACUACAACCUCCGUUCCAAUCCACAGCUUCCUGGUUCCCAAGCACGUGACAGACUGUCUUACAUAUGAAUGUUUCCUCAUGUUCUGGUUUGAAAUAUGAGAGAGCUGAUGCUAUCUUACUUAGGAUUUAGCCCAUUGAUUUCUAGCAUAGCAUCUUCUUCUUUUUAAAUAGUGUGAUGAUUGAUGUGACCUUGACCUAUAUUGUUUCUUUUGUGAUGCGAGCCCAUGUAUUGUAGAUAAUACCAUUAUGCUAAGGUCCCGUUUGGAACGCAGGAAUACAAAACAUAUGAAUAGGAAAAAACAUAGGAACAGGGUAGGAAAUUCACAUGGAAAACAGAGGAUUGAAAACCAUAGGAAAAUUUGACAACAAUGUUUUUGUAAUGCAGGAAUGGGUAAAAUGUAGAAAUGCUUUUUCCAAAACCAUUUGUACACUGCUUUUAUAACUUGAAAUAUAGAAGUGGCCCACAUAUCAUAGAGGAGGCAGAAAGGAACUAAUCGUCAUGUUCGUAUCUUCUGCUUGUUCUCCUAGGCAGCAGCAGGGCAACACGAUCUCCAGUCGAAAUUAAUACAGUACCAUUCAAGGAGACAGAUCAAAAGU